CCCGACCUACCUCGCUAUCGCUUGACUCCCUCUCCCCUUGCAUCCGUACGACCACCCCUCUCCCGUGCAUGAGCACCGACGCCAUCUGAUUACCGCCGUAAUCCUCAUCGGCCGUUAUUUUUUGGUUCGCUGUCAAUGGCAUCUCGCCGUCAUCUUCACCGUCUUCGGGAAAGUUUUUCUUUUUCUCUCAUUUUUACCUCUAUAUCGAAUCUUGUGAUCAUCCAAUCUCUUUAUUCAUCGUUAUAUUAUUAUUUUGAAUACUCGUCUCAUGAUGAUUGAAAUUUGAAACCAUCAAAAUCUGAUUUGCUUGUAUCUAAUCUUUGUCGUUUGAACCGUUUAAUUUCAUAUCUUUUAUCCUCUAUAUGAUCUAUUUGCGUAAAGCUUCACAAAUUGUACACACUUAUUGGAAUGCCCGCUAUAUGUUCGACAAAAUGCCUAAGAGAAGGCGUGUGGUGUUUUGCUUCUAAUUUUUGAUCUUAUUCGAUUGUAGAUGGUAAAAUUAGUUUUGUACAUAUGAUAAACCCUUUGUUUGAAUACUGAAACCCUCGUUAUUAUUUAAAAUUCGGUUUAUGUUAUCUUAGUCCUUUGAAUAGUUUAAUUAUUGAAACUCCCUCAUCUUUUGAUUGUUAAUUGAGUUUUGUCAAGUUUAAUAUUUUUUAAAGCCCUUCUGUGCUCCAUCCCAACCUAUCAGCAUGUAUUUGUCAUUGAUUAUGUCAACCUAUGUGAGCCUAUUUGAAAUCUAAAAUUUUGUACGAGCUUCAUUCCAUAUAUAUAUAUAUCCUCUUUGUAAGUUCAUUUUUUUGAGUAGCUUAUAGAGAAUCGCAUGUCUCUAUUUUAGGUUCCGACGAUUGAUUUUCUGCACAUUUUCGACUGGAUAAUUUCUUAUCUUUGAAGCUGCGUUAACAUAUCGAGACUGAUUUGCAGGGCGGGGCUGGGACCGAGUGAAUGUUAGACGUAGCCAGUUUUGAUUUUAGUCCCCUUCGUUUUAUGUCUAUUGUAUUUAGAUGUGAAUUUUGGACUUCGAGAAUGAUCAAUUGUUUAUCUACUUCUAUUUUGUUAUUUCUUCGAACCCACAUUUGUUAUUUAUAGUAUCUGUUAGAUCAAA